rnacentral:rRNA from 1 species
GAUUAAGUUAUUAAGGGCGCAUGGUGGAUGCCUUGGCACUAGAAGCCGAUGAAGGACGUUACUAACGACGAUAUGCUUUGGGGAGCUGUAAGUAAGCUUUGAUCCAGAGAUUUCCGAAUGGGGAAACCCAGCAUGAGUUAUGUCAUGUUAUCGAUAUGUGAAUACAUAGCAUAUCAGAAGGCACACCCGGAGAACUGAAACAUCUUAGUACCCGGAGGAAGAGAAAGAAAAUUCGAUUCCCUUAGUAGCGGCGAGCGAAACGGGAAGAGCCCAAACCAACAAGCUUGCUUGUUGGGGUUGUAGGACACUCUAUACGGAGUUACAAAGGACGACAUUAGACGAAUCAUCUGGAAAGAUGAAUCAAAGAAGGUAAUAAUCCUGUAGUCGAAAAUGUUGUCUCUCUUGAGUGGAUCCUGAGUACGACGGAGCACGUGAAAUUCCGUCGGAAUCUGGGAGGACCAUCUCCUAAGGCUAAAUACUCUCUAGUGACCGAUAGUGAACCAGUACCGUGAGGGAAAGGUGAAAAGCACCCCGGAAGGGGAGUGAAAUAGAACCUGAAACCGUGUGCUUACAAGUAGUCAGAGCCCGUUAAUGGGUGAUGGCGUGCCUUUUGUAGAAUGAACCGGCGAGUUACGAUUUGAUGCAAGGUUAAGCAGUAAAUGUGGAGCCGUAGCGAAAGCGAGUCUGAAUAGGGCGUUUAGUAUUUGGUCGUAGACCCGAAACCAGGUGAUCUACCCUUGGUCAGGUUGAAGUUCAGGUAACACUGAAUGGAGGACCGAACCGACUUACGUUGAAAAGUGAGCGGAUGAACUGAGGGUAGCGGAGAAAUUCCAAUCGAACCUGGAGAUAGCUGGUUCUCUCCGAAAUAGCUUUAGGGCUAGCCUCAAGUGAUGAUUAUUGGAGGUAGAGCACUGUUUGGACGAGGGGCCCCUCUCGGGUUACCGAAUUCAGACAAACUCCGAAUGCCAAUUAAUUUAACUUGGGAGUCAGAACAUGGGUGAUAAGGUCCGUGUUCGAAAGGGAAACAGCCCAGACCACCAGCUAAGGUCCCAAAAUAUAUGUUAAGUGGAAAAGGAUGUGGCGUUGCCCAGACAACUAGGAUGUUGGCUUAGAAGCAGCCAUCAUUUAAAGAGUGCGUAAUAGCUCACUAGUCGAGUGACACUGCGCCGAAAAUGUACCGGGGCUAAACAUAUUACCGAAGCUGUGGAUUGUCCUUUGGACAAUGGUAGGAGAGCGUUCUAAGGGCGUUGAAGCAUGAUCGUAAGGACAUGUGGAGCGCUUAGAAGUGAGAAUGCCGGUGUGAGUAGCGAAAGACGGGUGAGAAUCCCGUCCACCGAUUGACUAAGGUUUCCAGAGGAAGGCUCGUCCGCUCUGGGUUAGUCGGGUCCUAAGCUGAGGCCGACAGGCGUAGGCGAUGGAUAACAGGUUGAUAUUCCUGUACCACCUAUAAUCGUUUUAAUCGAUGGGGGGACGCAGUAGGAUAGGCGAAGCGUGCGAUUGGAUUGCACGUCUAAGCAGUAAGGCUGAGUAUUAGGCAAAUCCGGUACUCGUUAAGGCUGAGCUGUGAUGGGGAGAAGACAUUGUGUCUUCGAGUCGUUGAUUUCACACUGCCGAGAAAAGCCUCUAGAUAGAAAAUAGGUGCCCGUACCGCAAACCGACACAGGUAGUCAAGAUGAGAAUUCUAAGGUGAGCGAGCGAACUCUCGUUAAGGAACUCGGCAAAAUGACCCCGUAACUUCGGGAGAAGGGGUGCUCUUUAGGGUUAACGCCCAGAAGAGCCGCAGUGAAUAGGCCCAAGCGACUGUUUAUCAAAAACACAGGUCUCUGCUAAACCGUAAGGUGAUGUAUAGGGGCUGACGCCUGCCCGGUGCUGGAAGGUUAAGAGGAGUGGUUAGCUUCUGCGAAGCUACGAAUCGAAGCCCCAGUAAACGGCGGCCGUAACUAUAACGGUCCUAAGGUAGCGAAAUUCCUUGUCGGGUAAGUUCCGACCCGCACGAAAGGCGUAACGAUUUGGGCACUGUCUCAACGAGAGACUCGGUGAAAUCAUAGUACCUGUGAAGAUGCAGGUUACCCGCGACAGGACGGAAAGACCCCGUGGAGCUUUACUGUAGCCUGAUAUUGAAAUUCGGCACAGCUUGUACAGGAUAGGUAGGAGCCUUUGAAACGUGAGCGCUAGCUUACGUGGAGGCGCUGGUGGGAUACUACCCUAGCUGUGUUGGCUUUCUAACCCGCACCACUUAUCGUGGUGGGAGACAGUGUCAGGCGGGCAGUUUGACUGGGGCGGUCGCCUCCUAAAAGGUAACGGAGGCGCUCAAAGGUUCCCUCAGAAUGGUUGGAAAUCAUUCAUAGAGUGUAAAGGCAUAAGGGAGCUUGACUGCGAGACCUACAAGUCGAGCAGGGUCGAAAGACGGACUUAGUGAUCCGGUGGUUCCGCAUGGAAGGGCCAUCGCUCAACGGAUAAAAGCUACCCCGGGGAUAACAGGCUUAUCUCCCCCAAGAGUUCACAUCGACGGGGAGGUUUGGCACCUCGAUGUCGGCUCAUCGCAUCCUGGGGCUGUAGUCGGUCCCAAGGGUUGGGCUGUUCGCCCAUUAAAGCGGUACGCGAGCUGGGUUCAGAACGUCGUGAGACAGUUCGGUCCCUAUCCGUCGUGGGCGUAGGAAAUUUGAGAGGAGCUGUCCUUAGUACGAGAGGACCGGGAUGGACAUACCUCUGGUGUACCAGUUGUCGUGCCAACGGCAUAGCUGGGUAGCUAUGUGUGGACGGGAUAAGUGCUGAAAGCAUCUAAGCAUGAAGCCCCCCUCAAGAUGAGAUUUCCCAACUUCGGUUAUAAGAUCCCUCAAAGAUGAUGAGGUUAAUAGGUUCGAGGUGGAAGCAUGGUGACAUGUGGAGCUGACGAAUACUAAUCGAUCGAAGACUUAAUCAA